rnacentral:RNase_P_RNA from 2 species
CAAGUAAAUCGCCUUAUCGCUGUUCUAUUUAUAGAAUGGAGGAAAGUCCGAACACCGUAGUGCAACAUAGUGGUUAAUGGCCACCAGCCGUGAGGUUAGGAAAAGUGCAACAGAAAGUAUGUACAGGUAAUGCUGUAGUGAAACCAGGUAAACUCUAUGUGGUGCAAUGCCAUGUAUACCAAUGUUUGAGGGCGGCACGCUCGAUGUUGGAGGGUGGGCAGCUAAAAUGUGUUAGUAAUAAUACAUUCAGAUAAAUGAUAAGGGCCUGUUCUUUUAGAAGAGGUACAGGAUUCGGCUUAUAGAUUUACUUAAAUA